rnacentral:rRNA from 1 species
UACGUAGGGGGUGAGCGUUGUCCGGAUUUAUUGGGCGUAAAGAGCGUGUAGGCGGCCAGGUAGGUCUGCUGUGAAAACUCGAGGCUCAACCUCGAGACGUCGGCGGAAACCAUCUGGCUAGAGUCCGGAAGAGGAGAGUGGAAUUCCUGGUGUAGCGGUGAAAUGCGCAGAUAUCAGGAAGAACACCCGUGGCGAAGGCGGCUCUCUGGGACGGUACUGACGCUGAGACGCGAAAGCGUGGGGAGCGAACAGG